UACGGGGGGGGCAAGCGUUGUUCGGAAUUACUGGGCGUAAAGGGCUCGUAGGUGGCCAACUAAGUCGGACGUGAAAUCCCUCGGCUUAACCGGGGAACUGCGUCUGAUACUGGAUGGCUUGAGUUCGGGAGAGGGAUGCGGAAUUCCAGGUGUAGCGGUGAAAUGCGUAGAUAUCUGGAGGAACACCGGUGGCGAAGGCGGCAUCC
rnacentral:rRNA from 1 species